rnacentral:rRNA from 1 species
UACAGAGGGUGCAGGCGUUAAUCGGAAUUACUGGGCGUAAAGCGUGCGUAGACGGUUAUUUAAGUCAGGUGUGAAAGCCCCGGGCUCAACCUGGGAAUUGCAUUUGAGACUGAAUAGCUAGGGUGCGGAAGAGGGAAGCGGAAUUUCCGGUGUAGCGGUGAAAUGCGUAGAUAUCGGAAGGAACACCAGUGGCGAAAGCGGCUUCCUGGUCCAGCACCGACGUUCAGGCACGAAAGCGUGGGGAGCAAACAGG